rnacentral:rRNA from 1 species
CCUACGGGAGGCAGCAGUGAGGAAUAUUGGUCAAUGGUCGGGAGACUGAACCAGCCAAGCCGCGUGAGGGAUGAAGGUACAGAGUUUCGUAAACCUCUUUUGUCAGGGAACAAAGGCGGGGACGUGUCCCCGGAUGAGUGUACCUGAAGAAAAAGCAUCGGCUAACUCCGUGCCAGCAGCCGCGGUAAUAGGGAGGAUGCGGGCGUUAUCCGGAUUUAUUGGGUUUAAGGGGUGCGCAGGCGGUCUGUUAAGUCAGCGGUAAAAGCCCGGGGUUCAACCCCGGCCCGCCGUUGAAACUGGCAGUCUCGAGUUGGAUAGAGGUAUGCGGAAUGCGCGGUGUAGCGGUGAAAUGCAUAGAGAUCGCGCAGAACUCCGAUUGCGAAGGCAGCAUGCCGGCUCCACACUGACGCUGAGGCACGAAAGCGUGGGUAUCGAACAGGAUUAGAUACCCCUGUAGUC